GGGCGACUAGCUCAGUUGGUUAGAGCACCUGCCUUACAAGCAGGGGGUCAUAGGUUCGAGUCCUAUGUCGCCCACCA
rnacentral:tRNA from 1 species